AGUGAACGCUGGCGGUAGGCCUAACACAUGCAAGUCGAACGGCAGCACAGUAAGAGCUUGCUCUUACGGGUGGCGAGUGGCGGACGGGUGAGGAAUACAUCGGAAUCUACUUUUUCGUGGGGGAUAACGUAGGGAAACUUACGCUAAUACCGCAUACGACCUACGGGUGAAAGCAGGGGAUCUUCGGACCUUGCGCGAUUGAAUGAGCCGAUGUCGGAUUAGCUAGUUGGCGGGGUAAAGGCCCACCAAGGCGACGAUCCGUAGCUGGUCUGAGAGGAUGAUCAGCCACACUGGAACUGAGACACGGUCCAGACUCCUAAGGGAGGCAGCAGUGGGGAAUAUUGGACAAUGGGCGCAAGCCUGAUCCAGCCAUACCGUGUGGGUGAAGAAGGCCUUCUGGUUGUAAAGACCUUUUGUUGGGAAAGAAAAGCAGCAGGUUAAUACCCCGCUGUUCUGACGGUAACCAAAGAAUAAGCACCGGCUAACUUCGUG
rnacentral:rRNA from 1 species